CCUACGGGAGGCAGCAGUGGGGAAUAUUGCACAAUGGGGGAAACCCUGAUGCAGCGACGCCGCGGGAAGGAAGAAGGAUUUCGGUAUGUAAACUUCUAUCAGCAGGGAAGAAAAUGACGGUACCUGACUAAGAAGCCCCGGCUAACUACGUGCCAGCAGCCGCGGUACUACGUAGGGGGAAAGCGUUAUCCGGAUUUACUGGGUGUAAAGGGAGCGUAGGCGGUUUAGGAAGUCAGAAGUGAAAGCCCGGGGCUCAACUCCGGGACUGCUUUUGAAACUGUUGAACUAGAUUGCAGGAGAGGUAAGUGGAAUUCCUAGUGUAGCGGUGAAAUGCGUAGAUAUUAGGAGGAACACCAGUGGCGAAGGCGGCUUACUGGACUGUAAAUGACGCUGAGGCUCGAAAGCGUGGGGAGCAAACAGGAUUAGAUACCCGUGUAGUC
rnacentral:rRNA from 1 species